rfam:Pongo abelii chromosome X.
GCUCGGUGCAGUGGUGCGUGCCUAUAGUCCCAGCUACUCUGGAGGCUGAGGCAGGAGGACUGUCUAAGUCUAGGAGUUCUGGGCUGUAGUGUACUAUGCGUAUCAGGUGUCCACACUAAGUCUGGCAUCGACACGAUAACCUCCCGGAAGCAAGGGAGCACCACGUUGCCUAAGGAGGGGUGAACAGGCCCAGGUCAGAAAGAGAGCAGGUCAAAUACUCCCAUGCUGAUCAGUAAUGGGAUCGCGCCUGUGAAUAACCCUUGCACUCCAGCCUGGACAACAAAGAGAAUCCCCCAUGUCUA